UUUAAGUCAAUUACUUAGAAAAUCCUGUUUUACUAGAGUCUGGACUCUGAAACAAUCAGAGUUCUUGUAGUAAAGGAUUAUUUUUCAUGUUUAGUAAUGGGCAGGGGUCAACCAGAUGGGGACUCUGGUUUUUUCAUGUCCAGCUUGAAAUGGUCCCCAAGCCUCUGUUUGCCUUUAUAGCUUGCUUGGAAAACUUACUUGCAUGAACAGCCUUGUAAGCAUUUUGGUUUACAGAUGAUUUGCUACAUAUUCCAGAGGAUGGGGAAUCAAAUUCAUCUUGUGGCAAAGGACCUCUCCUGCAUCAGGGUAGAGUGAUCAUGAAAGAGGAAGCAACCAAAAAUGGACCUUUCUGACAUGUUUCCAGGUCUCUCUGUGGCCUGAUGCUACAAGGGCAACAAUUAAAGAAUGAGAGA
rnacentral:lncRNA from 1 species